CCAAUAGCGUAUAUUAAAGUUGUUGCAGUUAAAAAGCUCGUAGUUGAAUUUCGGGAUCAAGGAAUCGGUCAUGCCUUGGUAUGUACUGGUUUUAUUGGUUCUCACCUUCUAAAGAACCAUGAUGUCAUUCAUUUGAUGUUAUGGGGAAUUAGGACUGUUACCUUGAAAAAAUUAGAGUGUUUAAAGCAAGCUUACGCUUGAAUACAUUAGCAUGGAAUAAUGAAAUAGGACAUCAGAUUCUAUUUUGUUGGUUUCUAGGAUCGAUGUAAUGAUUAAUAGGGAUAGUUGGGGGCAUUAGUAUUCAAUUGUCAGAGGUGAAAUUCUUGGAUUUAUUGAAGACUAACUACUGCGAAAGCAUUUGCCAAGGAUGUUUUCAUUAAUCAAGAACGAAAGUUAGGGGAUCGAAGACGAUCAGAUACCGUCGUAGUCUUAACCAUAAACUAUGCCGACUAGGGAUCGGAUGAUGUUAAUUUUUUAAUGACUCAUUCGGCACCUUACG
rnacentral:rRNA from 1 species